CUUAUGAAAAUUAUACAAAAAUGUAGUUUAUAUUGUAUAUUUUAUUUUAUUUGUUCUAAAAAAAUUGUCGAAGCUUAAUUUCGAACAGGAUUGCGUUAGCUUUUUAGCGUUUGAAGUUUUUUAAGAUACUACAUUACGAGGAUUUAAUUUACUCACAUUUUGGGUGCUUAAGUGUUAACGCUACCGCAGCCACAGAUAUUGUGCCCUCUUGAAAGAUGGUUCUAGGUUUGCCCAAUUGUGUGCUCCUUACACUGUUUCAAGCUAAGCCUUUCUAAAUACGAUGGACCAAUUUAAAAAUUUUAGAAAGUAACAUUUAUUUGUGAUUAUAUUCAUGUCGGUUAUUUAUAAGUCCUUCGAACAUACCAUAUGUAAUUGUUUGAUGAAAAAAGAAUUCGGUGGAACAUAAAUUAAUUAUAUAAUAAGAUACCUUAGUAAA